GAAGUUUUUAUCUUAAUUUACAUUUGAUUGACAAAAUUAUCAAAAUAUUUCUAUGGCACAUUGCUCUGUGAUAUUUAAUAUACGUAGUGCUUUAAAUUAGUAACAGUCGUACAGUAUAGUACCGGGACACCAUUUCACGAAAAUGUCGUAAAUUAGGUUCUACCUAACGAGUAACGUUCUACUUAGUACGUCUUACGUACGCACUUAAACUAUAUAUAAGUACUGCCUACAUCGAACCUAUGUACUAUGUACGAUUUACAGCGUUUUGUGAAACAGGUCUUGACCUGUAUACUUUCUGUAUAAUUAUAUAUACUACUAGAGGUGUACAAUCACAUCAUCCAUUGCAUGAUUUUACAUGUUACAAUUAAUGCCUUGAAAAAUUCAAUCUUGUCUUUUCAGUAUUAAUUUCUUUAAUUUAUAAAAUGAGUGGAUAUGUUAACAUUGCUAGUGCUGAACGUAUGUCAUUAAACGAUGUCAGCUAUCCUCAGCAGAAUGUUCUGCAAUGAAACUCCAAAAUACCUGGGGCAGGAAUUCUGUUAUUAUUUAUGUACAAUUAAUAGAUUUAGCUUUUUAUGUUGCUCAAUCUGUUUAUAAAUAAUCUUAUAUUACUUAUAAUAAAUAUCAACAACUUUAGCCCAGUGUUAUUACAGACAGCACUAUGCUUGUUUUGUGAAGAAAAAAGGGCCUUGGGUUAAACCCUCCAAUUCUCCUCAAAGGAUCUACUACUUCUGUACCACAUUUUUUCUCCACAUUUAGUUAAUUUGUAUAAAAUCUCAUCAUUCAAAACCAAAGAUCUUGGACUAAGAGCCUCAUAGAUGUAUGUAUUAUAUAUGAAUUGAUUUUGUUAAACAUGAACGACACAAAGACAUAUAUGCUAAUUGUUUACUGUUGAAUAUACACAAAUUUAUGUUAUUUUAGUUUUAGCCUUUUCCUACAUUUAUACUUUAAUAAAAUGGAAAUAUGAGAUGUAUUUUUGUUGAGAACUGAUUUCAAUUGAUUUUUUUUGUUAAUAUAAAUGAAAUAAACAUAUUUAAAUU
rnacentral:sRNA from 1 species